ACGAACGCUGGCGGCGUGCUUAACACAUGCAAGUCGUACGGUAAGGCCCUUUCGGGGGUACACGAGUGGCGAACGGGUGAGUAACACGUGAGUAACCUGCCCACAACUUUGGGAUAACGCUAGGAAACUGGUGCUAAUACUGGAUAUGUGCUCCUGCUGCAUGGUGGGGGUUGGAAAGCUCCGGCGGUUGUGGAUGGACUCGCGGCCUAUCAGCUUGUUGGUGGGGUAGUGGCCUACCAAGGCGGCGACGGGUAGCCGGCCUGAGAGGGUGACCGGCCACAGUGGGACUGAGAGACGGCCCAGACUCCUACGGGAGGCAGCAGUGGGGAAUAUUGCACAAUGGGCGCAAGCCUGAUGCAGCAACGCCGCGUGCGGGAGGACGGCCUUCGGGUUGUAAACCGCUUUCAGCAGGGACGAAGCUUUUUGUGACGGUACCUGCAGAAGAAGCACCGGCUAACUACGUG
rnacentral:rRNA from 1 species